UACGGAGGGUGCAAGCGUUAAUCGGAAUUACUGGGCGUAAAGCGUGCGCAGGCGGUUUGUUAAGUCCGCUGUGAAAUCCCCGAGCUCAACUUGGGAAUUGCAGUGGAUACUGGCAAGCUGGAGUAUGGUAGAGGAAGGUGGAAUUCCCGGUGUAGCAGUGAAAUGCGUAGAGAUCGGGAGGAACACCAGUGGCGAAGGCGGGUCUCUGGACAGCAACUGACGCUGAGGCACGAAGGCCAGGGGAGCAAACGGG
rnacentral:rRNA from 1 species